UACGAAGGGGGCUAGCGUUGCUCGGAAUCACUGGGCGUAAAGGGUGCGUAGGCGGGUUUUUAAGUCAGGGGUGAAAUCCUGGAGCUCAACUCCAGAACUGCCUUUGAUACUGAAGAUCUUGAGUCCGGGAGAGGUGAGUGGAACUGCGAGUGUAGAGGUGAAAUUCGUAGAUAUCGGGAGGAACACCAGUGGCGAAGGCGGCGAUCUGGGCAGAUACUGACGCUGAGGUGCGAAAGCGUGGGGAGCAAACAGG
rnacentral:rRNA from 1 species